UGCAGAUUAGACUAAUUAACAUUCUAAUAUGAGUGGGCGUGUCUUUCAAUGUACUGGCAUCACAUACGGGUUCAUUCUUGCCUUGCACUGUGUGUUGCUGUUGUAGGCUCCCGCCCCCUCAACUUUCUUUGGAUUAGGAUAUCUACUCCACAGUAAUUAUAAAUUGAACAGUCUGAAGCAAAUUGAAUUCAGCGUCUGAAUGGGACAAGACACUUUUUCAAAAAAUCUGUCCUAUUGAAAGUGUUUGGAGCAGAAAGUCUGCAUGAGUCCAUGAAGAAGGGUCAGCUCCUAUUCUGCAAGCUGCAUGGUCUUUCCUGGAAGGAUGCUCCAAGUUUCAACUGAAUUUUGUAUUUUAUUUGAAAGAAUAGACUUUGUAAGACUGUAUAUAAUUUGAUGUAUAUAAACUAUGGUUUUAAAUCAUAUUCAAAAACUUACAAACACUGUUCAUAAAGUAACUGACAGAUUGUGAAUUGUUGGUUACAGUGUAAUACUAUUAGUGCCAAAAUGUCAUCUUUGAUUCUUGAAUGUUUUUAAAGCAGUCAGACUUUCAAAAAGCUGCAUUUUCUAUAUAUGAAUUCAUUUUUAUAAGUGUAAGAAUUUCUAAAAAAAACAAUUUUUAAUGCUUAUUUCCAAGACUCAAAUUCUUAGGUGCAUAAGUUCAAAUAAAGAAGUCAAUUUUA